rnacentral:misc_RNA from 1 species
GAGAGAGAGAGAGAGAGAAGGGAAUGACGGAAGAAAUUGACUUUGAAUCUUUGGAAGAAAAAUGGUUUUUGUGCAAUUCAAUAUUAUUUGAAUUGACAGUUUCUUAUCAUUUCUUCUCUAGCAAGAUCUCCACCUAGGAAAUUGGAAAAAGAAAGUUAAAGCAAUUUGAGAGUGAAAACAAAUUGCAAACCAAUGAUAACUUUAACAGAAGGAGAAA